rnacentral:rRNA from 1 species
UACAGAGGUCUCAAGCGUUGUUCGGAUUCAUUGGGCGUAAAGGGUGCGUAGGUGGCGCUGUAAGUCAGGUGUGAAAUUUCGGAGCUUAACUCCGAAACUGCACUGGAUACUGCCAUGCUUGAGUACUGGAGAGGAGAUUGGAAUUUACGGUGUAGCAGUGAAAUGCGUAGAUAUCGUAAGGAAGACCAGUGGCGAAGGCGAAUCUCUGGACAGUUACCGACACUGAGGCACGAAGGCCAGGGGAGCAAACGGG